CACGAAAUACACUGUGCAGGUCAC
rnacentral:miRNA from 1 species